CCCAUUGGACAGCGUGUUAUCCCGUAAACGAAUACCCCACUGGUAUGCAGGCUCAUUUCCCCGAAAAAACACAUCAAGCCAACAGAACCACUUCGGGGGUAUCAUUGCGAUAUUUUUGUGCCCAUUCAGAGAGGUUAGUCCAUAGGAAGAGUCCGCUUUAACCCCCGAAAAUAUACUUUCAUAAACCAUAAAAGUAGUAGGAUAUUUUUUGGCGACGGCUAACUUCUCCUAUGUGCGAAAAAAAACAAAAAAGUAGGGAUGUCAUUUUGAAAAAUAAUCAUCCACAUGCUCCUCUUUGUCUCUGCGGGGUUGUGCAUUCUGGGUAAAACGGGCUGUUGGCAUUUCAGUCCAAUGAGACCGUUUUGGGGAUAACCGGCACAACGGACAGUCACUCAAAGUGGAGGGAAGGCAGGUAGGAGAAAAUGCGUUUUUAGUGCUAAACCAUAAAUGUAAAGUUCGGGUUCAGGUCGGAUUUGUUUCCUAAAUUGAGCAUCGCCAGGAGCUUCUCCUCCCCCGAUAAAAAAAAACACAUUUCCAGUUAGUCCAUCAAAACCCCCUAACACAGCAUGAUGUGUUCCAGUGACAAAGACCGGGACAAUGAAGAAGAAGAAUGGGAGGAUUUAUGAGGAAGAGGAGAGUCACCGCGUAGAGAGAAAGAUCUCAGACAGAUUUCAAAUGUCACAAAACUAAAAAGAUUCCACUAAUGGGAAAAGCAACAAUGUUUUUGGUUUUUGUUUGGUUGAAAAUACCCUUUUGUAUUACCACCAGAUAUCCGGCGCACGGAAGAACGUCGGCGAGGAUUUUCCCGUGCUGACCCACAUUUUAAUAAACAGGAUUUCAUCCCGGGCCUCCGCCCCAUCCGCCGGUUCUGAGAUCGCGGCGGAGUAAUAAAUGUGAGUGCACAGUGAUGAACAUGGAGUACAUGUGUGGGUUUAUGCUCCGCCACUGACCCCCGAAACCUGAAUGUGUGAUAAGACGUAAUGAAUUUCUCCCGCCUGACAUAAAGCACAGCACUGAGUCAGUGUUUACCUUGCGGAGGAAUGCCAGACACACUCGCGGCAAUAAGCUCUCGUAAAGUCAUCACGUUUCAUUUAAAAUCUUUACAAGGCCGUUCAACUGAGGACAAGGUGUCGUGCACGCGUGGGAGUGAUCGGAGUUUCCGUUUCAAUCUUCUUCAUCUCCCUGUUUGAUGUCGUCUCCAGAUGAAUUUGCGCACGAGGCGACCUUCGGGAGUCAGUGGUACGGACCGGUCUCCCCUCGAUGGAUAACUGGAUUAGAGGCUCAACAAUAAAAACACAAAGGCCUCCUUCGUUCGAUAAGAGGACGGCGCUCAGAAGCGGGAAAGAGAGGAGGAAAAAUGUGCCUGAUGGAAGCCGCUGUGGACUCCUAAAUAAAAGCCGUAAAACGCCAGCACUUGGCUCCAGCUAAGGAAAGCUUAUGCUAAGACACAGCGGUAAUGAUUUUAAUAUCUGCGAGGCCACGCGCUAUAAAUUUAAAAUGUGCUGUGAGAUACACUCGUCCACGAGUACACGACUCCCCCCUCUGCCUCCCGUCACCUCCCUUCUGGGGCUUUUUCUUCACUUUGUGAGAAGGAAACACGCAGAAUCAGCUCCUGUGUUUCUCUUAAUUCACGCAAAAGUAGAUGAUCUUUUAGUUGUUUAUUUAACGUUCUGCUAUUUUACCCUCCCAUCCCAAAAAAUGGAGCGGUUUAUAAAAAGAUCAUCCGUGUGAAGAUCUGGCAUAAAAAUGUGUUUUUGUGACUUUUUUUCCCUUCGUUCCCCUCUGACCUGCUACAGCCAGCGAAAAAGUUUAAUCUGUUUAAUUCUUGAACAAACAAGAUGAAAUAUUUGAAAUCAUGGGUCCACUUUGGAGGCCAUUCAGGCAUCUGGCAAGUCACACCAACGGCACUUCAAAUGCUCCAAAUGUUUUGUUCCAAGCCAUUUUCUAUUAGCCUACAAUCUGGCCAGAACAUUAAUAGAUGUGAAAUCCCGGCAUGAGAGCCGUGCCUCUGCUCUUCGUCUCGGCAUCUGUUCCCUGUUAGGGACGCAGUCAACUCCCUCGCUGUGUGCUCAAUGUCUUUGCCAAGAUUGUUCCUAUCCAACUGUCCAGAAGAUCUUAGAAGGUUGUUUUGGGCGGCUUCAGGUUUUAGGCAAAUGAAAAAUGCACACACGCUUUAUCAAAGCAGAGAUUGGGAACUUAUGAGCAAAAAUAUGUGUUCCUAUAACUCAACGUUUGCCCACUUUUGCUGUACGAUUCUCCCUUUUCUUUACCCUUUACGCCGAUUGUCGCCAUAAGCAAACGCACUUUACCACACACACACACACACACACACACACACACACCGCGGCCGUCCUCUGGCUAUCUCUGGUCAUGGUUUAUAGUGGCAACCAGGCACUUCAUUAGUGGACAGCUGCUGCUGCACCUCCUUCCGUACCUUGACUUCCUCCACCUCUCCAUCCUCUCCCCCUCUCAGCUGCCCUCAGCCUGAACUUGUCCUGGGGGGGAGGAGUGGAGGGAGGUAUGGGAGGAGAAGGAAUGAAGAGGGGGGGUGGGGGGGCGCUUGCAUGGUCUGAUUGCUUCUCUCGUGUCAAUUGAUGGAGAGUGUGUGUUUGCGUGUGAGUGUUUUAUACUAAACAGACCGCCUACUAAACCUGAACCCGGACACCAACCACAAUUCUAACUUCGCCCUUAAAUACAAGUGUGAACCCUCAAAACAGAUUUUAAAGGUCCCAAAAAGUGAAGAGCUCACGGUCCUCACUCCGCAGGUGAAACUGGUCUGGUUGGUCCUCACAAAGACAGAAAAAUAAACACACACACACAGGCCUACUCCUAUAGGGACCAGCACGUUGACCCCCAAAGGAACGGGGGUCAAUGGACAGUAAUACCAGUCAAUGGACACACACAUUCACACAAAGAAUGAAGAGGCCAGUAUGUGAGAGCAGCUUGUAAUAAAAUAGAGAAAUAAACAUGAACUUUCUGAUAUGAGAUGUUUUAUCAGAUGAGUAUCAUGUUUUUAGCAACAUCCAUCUGACAGAACACUUGUCUGUCCCAUCCCGCGUAUCUUUAUCCCCCCACUAGAAUAAGUCCAGGCUGAGCCUUUGCCCCCCCAAAUCCUUCCCUGAAGCGCCGGCGUCAAUCCCAGCUCCUCUUUCAUGUCUAAUCGGCUUUUACAAGCCCCGGCCCCCCGUAGGCCGGCGUUUACAACUUCUGCCCCUUAUUGGCUGGAUGAGUGAGCGUUGUUGAGGGGCGCAGGUGCAAAAAGUUACUCCCUAAAUAAGAGGCAAUGACGAACAGGUGUCUUCUGAGCGGCUUCUGAGGCGGGGGAACCGUCACGUGAGGGAACACACGGGGGAACCGGCUCGUUUUAACCGGUUCUGCCGAAUUUCCGUUCAACAAAAGGAGGCUGGGCGGACUUCUGCUUUUUAACAAACGCAGCCUGGGGGCAGAUUUAUAGUGUCUGGGUCACUCUGAUGUUACUGCUUCUCUACGUGAUGUACGAGCAAUUAAGAGGUAUCUAAGCAACCAGCUGAUCGCAUCUCAAAUACGCUCUUCACUUUAUUACGUGAAACUCCUUCAACUUCUGAUUGAUGUCAUGAGACAUCUAUAAAGACUGUGUAGUCUUCAACAGGUUAGCAUCAACAGGUUAGCAUCAGCAGGUUAGCAUCAACAGGUUAGCAUCAGCAGGUUGGCAUCAGCAGGUUAGCAUCAACAGGUUAGCAUCAGCAGGUUAGCAUCAACAGGUUAGCAUCCACAGGUUUACAUCAGCAGGUUAGCAUCAACAGGUUAGCAUCAACAGGUUUACAUCAACAGGUUAGCAUCAGCAGGUUGGCAUCAGCAGGUUAGCAUCAACAGGUUAGCAUCAGCAGAUUAGCAUCAGCAUGUUAGCAUCAACAGGUUAGCAUCAGCGGGUUAGCAUCCACAGGUUUACAUCAACAGGUUAGCAUCAACAGGUUGGCAUCAGCAGGUUAGCAUCAACAGGUUAGCAUCAGCAGGUUAGCAUCAGCAGGUUAGCGAAUGUGUUGUUUUGACUCUUGAAUCAUAUUUAAACAUGUGGCUCAAUAACAAGAGUUGACUGUCUCUGUUCAAGACUUACAAAAUAAACACGGAGCAGCGAGUGAUUAAAAGUAUCUCACAAACAACAAGGACAAGUUCCCUGUUUAGUACGAAAUAAACGGCUCCUCUGUAAACAAGUCCGGAGAGAAUCCUCUCAAAGGAUUCAAAUGUCAGUGAGAAAAGCACGCCGGCCAAGUGCCAAACAAUGUGGAAACAACAGUCAUUGCUUUGGUACCACAUGCCAAACAAGCAAUCAUGUUACUCUGCUCUUGUACUUUGUUAAACCGCCUUUAAUGGACUUCUGCCGGCCUUUCUUAAGACUCUGGAGCGCGUACAAUUUUAUUUAAUCAAAUAUUCGCUUCAACCGGUCCAAACUUGCGCCGCAUCUGUCAAAUAUGUAAGUUGUGGGAAGUUGAUGGCAGCGAGCUGCCAAAAAGAUGCGAGGCGGGUUCGCUGCAGCCCUUCCUGCUGUAGAAUGAACAAAAACAAACAGUUUAUUGCAGACUUCAAACAAACAUGGCACGAAACCAAGACCUAAAUGCACUCAAGAUGUGGCACCCGAGAGCCCGCGGACCGAAUCGCCUGUUCGGCAGAACUGAGCUCGCGUCUCCUCGGAUCCAAGCGGCAGCUCGGUAAUUAAAACAUCCUAAUAGGAGAGAGCAGGAGUCCAGACGAGGUGUCACCGGCUCCGAUUCAGCGUCCUGUGUUUUGGCCGAGGAAGGAGAAACACUCGACUCGACAGCGUUUAGAGGCCGAUUUUAAUGUCAAGCGUCUCGAUGAGACGGCGUCCAGACACGGCGUCCAGACACGGGAGGAACGUGUUGGUGCUGUUGUGUAAUUUCAUGGUUUUUCACUGUUAUGCAAAGCAAAGCAAUAAAACCAAAGUAAAAUACGAAUAGAUUUUUAUAUCAGAAUUCAAAGAAAUGGAGUUCUUUGUAAAGGACUUUUAGACAUAUUGUUAAAUAGAGCAGGUGUGUCACCUGAAAGUCACAAUGAUUCCGGAGGAGGUCCAACCUGACCAUUACUUUAUUAGUUAGAGCGACACAGUCAUUUAUUAUGCAGCAGAUGUUAAAUUGUUUUCCAGCUUCGGUCUUUCAGUAACGUUCACUUGGAAUCAACCAAACAGUGAGUGAUUCAUUCGCUGACUAAGGGCCCGUGGCUGCGUGAAGCAUAAGCGGUUUUACAAGAUUGAUUAAUUCUAAUUCCUUCACUCGAUCCCACCGGAUUUUAACUCAGUUUAUUGGUACAAUGCUGAAUUAUGGGAAGGAGAGAGCUACAGAGGACUCUGUGUGUGUGUGUGUGACGCUUUACACAAAGCUCACGCCAGGAACGAGUACAAACAGCCGCGGCCACAACGGCUUCGCUGCCAAACACUGGCUUUCUCAUCAACCUCGACCAACCACACGCAAACACAAGUGCGCUAACACACAAACAGACACACGCGGGCGGGGAGGCAAAGUGGCAAAGCAACGCAAACAGGUCAAAAACGCCAGAAAAGACAAAUACGAACACACGCGCGUGUGUGUGUGUGUGUGUGUGUGUGUAAGAAGCCGACCUUGUGGCUCACAUCCCCUUAAAUCACAACAACGUGAGAUUGAGCAGAAGCCGAACAAAUCACUGUCAUCCAAACCAAACAGCGACCCACAUCUCUGCCUCCGACCUUCUGGAGAGAAGAAAAACCCACAUUCAAGUAAAUACACAUCGUCAUGUCAAAACCUUCCCAUCCACUCGCUCAGUUUUUGCACAUGUUGAUUUAGAGGAAAAUGAUCCACGGCCGCCACAAGGGCUCACAGAGGGGAGCGGGUCACGGGGAGAUGAGGGUCCUGGGCGAGAGGUGGAGGGAUUUCCCCCGCCAUGUGACGGAGGACGGGGAGGAGGAGGAGGAGGAGGAGGAGGGAGUUGUUUUCGGAGCUGCUUUCCAUCCAGCAAGUUCCUGGAACGGGAGAGAGGAGCGAGGGGAGCUGGAGGCGGGCCGUCCUCCCCUGCACAUAAAUCCAACCGCGUCCCGGCGUCCCGGGCUCGGAGAGAGUCACGGAGGCCCGUAGGCCAGGGCGAUGUCUGCUCCGCCCCUCUGGACCCGGCGGCCCGGGGAUACGGAGGUGUUUCAGGGGCGGAGGCGGAGGUGACGGUAGUCCGGAGAGGGUCCACGUCCUGAACUUUUACAGCCUCAGGCUUUAGGGGGACGUUCUGUCAGCACUAACAAAAUAUAAUUAAAGAAUCAUAAUUAAAUGUGCCCAGAAUUAAAGUAAUUCAUAUACUUUUGCUCAUGAAAUCUUUUGAGCUGAUCUUAUGUUUUUAUUUGAAGAGCAGCUACAGCUCUAAAAUAAAUGUAGCAAUUAAGUAAUCAAGUAACUAAGCACAAUAUCACCCUGAUAGCAGCACGCAACCACCUACCUACAUUAAGUAUACUUAGCUUAGCUUAGCUUAUAUUCCACCACUCAGCGCUCUAGUAAUCCUGCAUCCCAGUAACUUGUUGGCACCAGUUCUACCAGAAACAGGGCAGGAAAUACAAAAUGGAGCCAAGCUGUGAUAACAUUUUUGCAACUGCCAAGACACUUAAAGUGGUACUUUUGGUCGUACGAAUGUACUGUAUCGUACAGCAAACUAGUGCACAUAAAAGUGUAACAAUAAAUAACAGGAGAUAUAAGUCCCUGAUGCAUGCGGCUGUUCUGCACGUGUGUUUUCACUUCACACUUGUGUUUUACAUUGAGCAAUAACUGGAAUUUAGAAACAUCUGUUCACACGGCCGAACACCAAAUAUCACAACGAGAACGAGAUUUUUUGUUCCACAGUUUCAUUUUUAUUUGAUUGAAUUUCUUUGUGCAUUUGAUACCUUAAUGAAUAAUGAAGCAGUAGUUUAUGGUUUCAAUCUCUACUUUUAGGACAUUAUGUACAUUAUGGUCAAUGUUCCGUCAAACAGACCAUGAGGCAGAGUGCUCUUUAGGGCGGGGCUUACUGUGAUUGACAGGUUGCAAUUCGCAAAAGGUUUGCAGGGAUGACGUGACAUGAAAAACUAUCCAGCAAUCAUCUUCCCUCCUCCCCCCGUCUUCUCCGGGUCGUCUGCCCGUCCCCCCCCCCCGUCCCCCCCGUCUCGCUUUGAGCGGUCGCAGGCCGCGCUCAGAGGAAGUGAUGCAGUCCAUCUGGGGUGGUCGUUAUCGGCGGAG
ensembl:lncRNA